UUUGUUGAUUAGGUUCAGCUAGAACGUUCUUCGAUUCUAAAUUACUGUUAGUGAAAUGGCAUACCCUAUAAAAUAGACGCUAGCUUGUGCCUUAAUAUAGACACAUGUAACAGUGCAAUAAACAUACUCUUUCUUUUUCGACCAGACGAUCCUUUUUCAUUUUCAUCAUCCUCGUCACUGUAAUGACUUUGAUCCCACUCAUCAUAUCCAUUAUCCACAUAACCAGCCCCGUUAUCGUCUACGACAAAGUCAUCCUCAUCCAGUCGUUGUCGAACAAUCUUGCGAUAUUCUUCCUCUGAAACAUUGUCAUAUAAUUCUUCAUUUUCUUUGCUUUCGU